CGGUGACUGGGGCUAAGUCGUAACAAGGUAGCCGUACCGGAAGGUGCGGCUGGAACACCUCCUUU
rnacentral:rRNA from 1 species